rnacentral:rRNA from 1 species
CCUACGGGUGGCUGCAGUGGGGAAUAUUGGACAAUGGGCGAAAGCCUGAUCCAGCCAUGCCGCGUGUGUGAAGAAGGCCUUCGGGUGGUAAAGCACUUUCAGUGGGGAAGAAAGCCUUGGGGCUAAUACCCUCGAGGAAGGACAUCACCCACAGAAGAAGCACCGGCUAACUCCGUGCCAGCAGCCGCGGUAAUACGGAGGGUGCGAGCGUUAAUCGGAAUUACUGGGCGUAAAGCGCGCGUAGGCGGUCUGAUAAGCCGGUUGUGAAAGCCCCGGGCUCAACCUGGGAACGGCAUCCGGAACUGUCAGGCUAGAGUGCAGGAGAGGAAGGUAGAAUUCCCGGUGUAGCGGUGAAAUGCGUAGAGAUCGGGAGGAAUACCAGUGGCGAAGGCGGCCUUCUGGACUGACACUGACGCUGAGGUGCGAAAGCGUGGGUAGCAAACAGGAUUAGAUACCCUGGUAGUC